rnacentral:rRNA from 1 species
UGGGGAAUCUUGCACAAUGGGGGAAACCCUGAUGCAGCGACGCCGCGUGAGCGAUGAAGCCCUUCGGGGUGUAAAGCUCUUUCGUCAGGGACGAUAAUGACGGUACCUGGAGAAGCAGCUGCGGCUAACUACGUGCCAGCAGCCGCGGUAAUACGUAGGCAGCGAGCGUUGUUCGGAGUUACUGGGCGUAAAGGGUGUGUAGGCGGUUUUCUAAGUUUGGUGUGAAAUCUCCCGGCUCAACCGGGAGGGUGCGCCGAAAACUGGGAGACUAGAGUGCGGGAUGGGAGAGUAGAAUUCCUGGUGUAGCGGUGAAAUGCGUAGAUAUCAGGAGGAAUACCGGUGGUGUAGACGGCUCUCUGGACCGCCACUGACGCUGAGACACGAAAGCGUGGGUAGCAAACA